rnacentral:rRNA from 1 species
CACGUAGGGCGCGAGCGUUGUCCGGAAUUAUUGGGCGUAAAGAGCUCGUAGGCGGCCUGUUGCGUCCGCUGUGAAAGCCCCCAGCUCAACUGGGGAGGGUCAGCGGUAACGGCCGUGCUAUGAGUGCAGGAGAGGGAAGUGGAACUCCGGGAGUAGCGGUGAAAUGCGUAGAGACCCGGAGGAACACCAGUGGCGAAGGCGGCUUCCUGGUCUGCGACUGACGCUGUGGCGCGAAAGCUAGGGGAGCAAACGGG